UAUUACUACCUCUUAGCAGUGUUGAGUUGCAACGAGAGAGCAAAAAGAGUUCUGUCUGGUUGGAUAAUAGAUUGAACCGGUCAUCGGGUAGUGAUGUGUUUGUCAAUCCAUCAAGAAUACACGCAGUGCUUCUAUUGAAAAUCGCUGCGUUUGAGACACGAAUAAUCUGGUUUUUGUAGUCGAUUUGGUGGAUAAUAUAAUUAUCAUCUCGUAGUCUGAGAACUGGACUGCUAUUAUGACAAACGAGAUUGAAUCCAG
rnacentral:misc_RNA from 1 species